CUACGGGGGGCUGCAGUGGGGAAUAUUGCACAAUGGAGGAAACUCUGAUGCAGCAACGCCGCGUGGAGGAUGACACUUUUCGGAGCGUAAACUCCUUUUAUAUAGGAAGAAGAUGACGGUACUAUAUGAAUAAGCGCCGGCUAACUCCGUGCCAGCAGCCGCGGUAAUACGGAGGGCGCAAGCGUUACUCGGAAUCACUGGGCGUAAAGGGCGUGUAGGCGGAUUAAAAAGUCAGAAGUGAAAUCCUAUAGCUUAACUAUAGAACUGCUUCUGAAACUCUUAAUCUAGAAUAUGGGAGAGGUAGAUGGAAUUUCUGGUGUAGGGGUAACAUCCGUAGAGAUCAGAAGGAAUACCGAUUGCGAAGGCGAUCUACUAGAACAUUAUUGACGCUGAGACGCGAAAGCGUGGGGAGCAAACAGGAUUAGAUACCCUCGUAGUC
rnacentral:rRNA from 1 species